rnacentral:tRNA from 1 species
GCCGGCGUAGCUCAGGUGGUAGAGCAGCUGAUUCGUAAUCAGCAGGCCGCGGGUUCGAGUCCCAUCGCCGGCU